AUGACCGGUACGUUUGCCAUCCUGCCAAGCGCAUGUGGACUGGACGUCCAGCUGGAGAGGUCGGCUCACCGGCUGUUGGACAGCAUCCUUCUGGACUGGAAGGGACAGGGAACAACCGAGAAGGUGAGGGCGCUGUGCUCUCGGACCAGAGACGACGAGCUCUGGGAGGGCAGGGUGGAGCUGAGGCAGCCUUUUACCCCGCCCCUUUCGCAUCUUCACCUCCGCGCACUCUCGCACACGCGCGCUGGAGGGCAGGGGAGCAGCCACCAGGCUUGGCUGUCCUGGAAUGACGGAAAGCCCAUGAAUGUUACUGUCACGGUGAACAGACAAUGGCAAGGCUCGUCCACCAGGGGGCAGGCUUGUCUUUCCAUGUCUCCUGGCCAGUCUUGGGCUGUGUCUGGGUACCACCGCGUCGGCACAGGCCAGGAGCUGCUCUACUCCCAGACGCGUCUCUCGGUGUCCGGUCAGUCCCAGUACAGCGGUCUGACCGUGGUCCUGACGAACACCUCCAUGCCUCUGCGCACCAACUUUUCCUUCCACACCGAGUUACAAGUUGGCGAUGGGGCUUUGGAGCUCGGGGGAAGUGUGUUCUCCUCCCGCCGGGGGGGUGGGCUUCAGGUGGGGGCUGUGCUCGACCGCAGCGAGCGCCUCUGGCUGCAGGGGGCGCUGGAGGGUCGCUGUGUGCAAGCAGCUGCAGGAUACAAUGACGGCGUACUGUCAGAUGACAACCUGACGGUGGCACUGUGUCUCGAGGGGCGUCGACACGUAAUACUGGAGGUCCAAAGGACAGAGGACGGAGUCAAGCCAGAGUCGCUGGCAUCCAUCUCUUUGAGGGCGGCCAAUCAAAGCCUGACGUUCACUGCACAAGCCUGCAUGGAAAGCCUGCAGGCAGCAGAGGCGAGAGCGUGUCUUCUGGGCUCACGUGUGAGGAAUAAACUGCUGGACAAAAUUCGAGUCCUGCAGCGCCUCCUGCUGGAGAUCAGACGCCAGGACAACGCUCUGCUGUGGGAGAUGAGCGAGAGGCCCCUGCGUUGGGCCCAGAAGGCCGAGGCGCUGCUGGUGCAGAGGGUCGCGGGAGCCUGGGCCGCGUGGAGGAAAGGCGUCCUGCGGCACUCCCUCACUAACCGCUUACCGCGGUGCCUCGAGUCCCUGCGCCACCUGUCCCAGCAGCUGCAGCAGGAGCUCAAGAGGCCGCUGGCCACCCUGGCGGGGGCCUACCAGGACGCGACCGGCCGACGGCUCGACGCCACUUGGAAAGAGACGGUGGUGCUUUGGUCUCGAAAGCUGGCGGAGCAACUGCCUGCAGUUCUGGAGGAGCACCAGCUGGGGGCGCCGCUGAGAGCGGCGCUGGGGGCGCUCACUGCCGCACUGGACCUGGUGAGUCAGCAGAUGGCACAGUGGGCGGAGUCCAGGUUGGGGGCGGCCCUCGUAGGGAUCAGAAGACGACUGGCAUCUCUCUACAAACUGUCACACGGCCGCUGCGAGGUGAGUGUCCAGCUGCCGUUACCGAGGGGCGCCUGGUCGGACGUGGGCGGGGCCGGGAUGGUGGAGUUCCUGCUGGACGAGUGGCUCCUGCGGCCCAUGGUGACCGUGGCAUCCCUGCGACCCGCCGCCGAGCUCUACCGCCUCAAGAGGAGGAUGAUGGAGAGUCCCUUCAACCACCAGGCUCUGCUGGUGUCUGACCAGUUCGCCCUGUCCUUCGACGGGCGCCUCUACGAGCUUCCCGGCCGCUGCCCCCUCCUCCUGGCCCGGGACCUCAUGGGCGGCUCCUUCACCAUGGUGCUCAGCCCCAAUACAGCGCCAGAGCGCACCCUGCUGGUGGAGAUGAGCAACACGACCGUGAGCAUUUCGCCCCACGGCCAGGUGGAGAUGAACUGCCGUGAGACAGACGAGAGCUUCAGUGACAGCGGCGUGUCGGUUAGGAGAGAUGGGGUACUCAUCCAAGUCUCCAAUCAGAACGGAGCGCUGCUGUCAUGUGACCUGUCGCAGGAGGUCUGCAGUUUGACGCUGGAUGGAUGGCAACAUGGUGUGUCUAUGGGGCUCCUGGGGACCAAUGACAAUGAAGCAGGAAAUGAGCUCACCCUCCCCGACGGCUCCCAGGCGGAUGGCGAGGACCACUUCCUCCAGAGCUGGCAGCUGAAGCCACACUGCCGCCGAGGCCCUUGUUCCAAUACCUCCAAGGCCGAAGCGACCUCCGACCUCCUCAGCUGCGCCUCCCUCUUCUCGGAUCUGGACUCCCCCCUCGGCUCAUGCUUCCGGGUGGUGAGUCACGCCCCACGCACACACACACACACACACACACACACACACACACUCACACGCACUCCAUAUUCUUCUUUCUGUUUUUUCUGGUUUUUCCCAUAA
ensembl:lncRNA